CGACGCUGGCGGCGUGCCUAAUACAUGCAAGUCGAACGAACUCUGGUAUUGAUUGGUGCUUGCAUCAUGAUUUACAUUUGAGUGAGUGGCGAACUGGUGAGUAACACGUGGGAAACCUGCCCAGAAGCGGGGGAUAACACCUGGAAACAGAUGCUAAUACCGCAUAACAACUUGGACCGCAUGGUCCGAGUUUGAAAGAUGGCUUCGGCUAUCACUUUUGGAUGGUCCCGCGGCGUAUUAGCUAGAUGGUGGGGUAACGGCUCACCAUGGCAAUGAUACGUAGCCGACCUGAGAGGGUAAUCGGCCACAUUGGGACUGAGACACGGCCCAAACUCCUACGGGAGGCAGCAGUAGGGAAUCUUCCACAAUGGACGAAAGUCUGAUGGAGCAACGCCGCGUGAGUGAAGAAGGGUUUCGGCUCGUAAAACUCUGUUGUUAAAGAAGAACAUAUCUGAGAGUAACUGUUCAGGUAUUGACGGUAUUUAACCAGAAAGCCACGGCUAACUACGUGCCAGCAGCCGCGGUAAUACGUAGGUGGCAAGCGUUGUCCGGAUUUAUUGGGCGUAAAGCGAGCGCAGGCGGUUUUUUAAGUCUGAUGUGAAAGCCUUCGGCUCAACCGAAGAAGUGCAUCGGAAACUGGGAAACUUGAGUGCAGAAGAGGACAGUGGAACUCCAUGUGUAGCGGUGAAAUGCGUAGAUAUAUGGAAGAACACCAGUGGCGAAGGCGGCUGUCUGGUCUGUAACUGACGCUGAGGCUCGAAAGUAUGGGUAGCAAACAGGAUUAGAUACCCUGGUAGUCCAUACCGUAAACGAUGAAUGCUAAGUGUUGGAGGGUUUCCGCCCUUCAGUGCUGCAGCUAACGCAUUAAGCAUUCCGCCUGGGGAGUACGGCCGCAAGGCUGAAACUCAAAGGAAUUGACGGGGGCCCGCACAAGCGGUGGAGCAUGUGGUUUAAUUCGAAGCUACGCGAAGAACCUUACCAGGUCUUGACAUACUAUGCAAAUCUAAGAGAUUAGACGUUCCCUUCGGGGACAUGGAUACAGGUGGUGCAUGGUUGUCGUCAGCUCGUGUCGUGAGAUGUUGGGUUAAGUCCCGCAACGAGCGCAACCCUUAUUAUCAGUUGCCAGCAUUAAGUUGGGCACUCUGGUGAGACUGCCGGUGACAAACCGGAGGAAGGUGGGGAUGACGUCAAAUCAUCAUGCCCCUUAUGACCUGGGCUACACACGUGCUACAAUGGAUGGUACAACGAGUUGCGAACUCGCGAGAGUAAGCUAAUCUCUUAAAGCCAUUCUCAGUUCGGAUUGUAGGCUGCAACUCGCCUACAUGAAGUCGGAAUCGCUAGUAAUCGCGGAUCAGCAUGCCGCGGUGAAUACGUUCCCGGGCCUUGUACACACCGCCCGUCACACCAUGAGAGUUUGUAACACCCAAAGUCGGUGGGGUAACCUUUUAGGAACCAGCCGCCUAAGGUGGGACAGAUGAUUA
rnacentral:rRNA from 2 species